rnacentral:rRNA from 1 species
UACAGAGGGGGCAAGCGUUGUUCGGAAUUACUGGGCGUAAAGGGCGCGUAGGCGGCCUGCUAAGUCGAACGUGAAAUCCCCCGGCUUAACCUGGGAACUGCGUCUGAUACUGGACGGCUUGAGUAUGGGAGAGGAACGUAGAAUUCCAGGUGUAGCGGUGAAAUGCGUAGAUAUCUGGAGGAAUACCGGUGGCGAAGGCGGCGUUCUGGACCAUUACUGACACUGAGGAGCGAAAGCCAGGGGAGCAAACGGG